rnacentral:rRNA from 1 species
GGGUUGUGAGGUUAAGCGACUAAGCGUACACGGUGGAUGCCCUGGCAGUCAGAGGCGAUGAAGGACGUGCUAAUCUGCGAAAAGCGUCGGUAAGGUGAUAUGAACCGUUAUAACCGGCGAUGUCCGAAUGGGGAAACCCAGUGCAAUUCGUUGCACUAUCGUUAACUGAAUACAUAGGUUAACGAGGCGAACCGGGGGAACUGAAACAUCUAAGUACCCCGAGGAAAAGAAAUCAACCGAGAUUCCCCCAGUAGCGGCGAGCGAACGGGGAGCAGCCCAGAGUCUGAAUCAGCUUGUGUGUUAGUGGAACGGUCUGGAAAGUCCGACGGUACAGGGUGAUAGUCCCGUACACCAAAAUGCACAGGCUGUGAACUCGAAGAGUAGGGCGGGACACGUGGUAUCCUGUCUGAAUAUGGGGGGACCAUCCUCCAAGGCUAAAUACUCCUGACUGACCGAUAGUGAACCAGUACCGUGAGGGAAAGGCGAAAAGAACCCCGGCGAGGGGAGUGAAAAAGAACCUGAAACCGUGUACGUACAAGCAGUGGGAGCACCUUCGGGUGUGACUGCGUACCUUUUGUAUAAUGGGUCAGCGACUUAUAUUCUGUAGCAAGGUUAACCGUAUAGGGGAGCCGCAGGGAAACCGAGUCUUAACUGGGCGUUAAGUUGCAGGGUAUAGACCCGAAACCCGGUGAUCUAGCCAUGGGCAGGUUGAAGGUUGGGUAACACUAACUGGAGGACCGAACCGACUAAUGUUGAAAAAUUAGCGGAUGACUUGUGGCUGGGGGUGAAAGGCCAAUCAAACCGGGAGAUAGCUGGUUCUCCCCGAAAGCUAUUUAGGUAGCGCCUCGUGAAUUCAUCUUCGGGGGGUAGAGCACUGUUUCGGCUAGGGGGUCAUCCCGACUUACCAACCCGAUGCAAACUACGAAUACCGAAGAAUGUUAUCACGGGAGACACACGGCGGGUGCUAACGUCCGUCGUGAAGAGGGAAACAACCCAGACCGCCAGCUAAGGUCCCAAAGUCAUGGUUAAGUGGGAAACGAUGUGGGAAGGCACAGACAGCCAGGAUGUUGGCUUAGAAGCAGCCAUCAUUUAAAGAAAGCGUAAUAGCUCACUGGUCGAGUCGGCCUGCGCGGAAGAUGUAACGGGGCUAAACCAUGCACCGAAGCUGCGGCAGCGACACUAUGUGUUGUUGGGUAGGGGAGCGUUCUGUAAGCCUGCGAAGGUGACCUGUGAGGGUUGCUGGAGGUAUCAGAAGUGCGAAUGCUGACAUAAGUAACGAUAAAGCGGGUGAAAAGCCCGCUCGCCGGAAGACCAAGGGUUCCUGUCCAACGUUAAUCGGGGCAGGGUGAGUCGACCCCUAAGGCGAGGCCGAAAGGCGUAGUCGAUGGGAAACAGGUUAAUAUUCCUGUACUUGGUGUUACUGCGAAGGGGGGGACGGAGAAGGCUAUGUUAGCCGGGCGACGGUUGUCCCGGUUUAAGCAUGUAGGCUGGUUAUCCAGGCAAAUCCGGAUAAUCAAGGCUGAGGUGUGAUGACGAGGCACUACGGUGCUGAAGUAACAAAUGCCCUGCUUCCAGGAAAAGCCUCUAAGCAUCAGGUAACAUCAAAUCGUACCCCAAACCGACACAGGUGGUCAGGUAGAGAAUACCAAGGCGCUUGAGAGAACUCGGGUGAAGGAACUAGGCAAAAUGGUGCCGUAACUUCGGGAGAAGGCACGCUGGUGUGUAGGUGAAGUCCCUGCGGAUGGAGCUGAGACCAGUCGAAGAUACCAGCUGGCUGCAACUGUUUAUUAAAAACACAGCACUGUGCAAACACGAAAGUGGACGUAUACGGUGUGACGCCUGCCCGGUGCCGGAAGGUUAAUUGAUGGGGUUAUCCGUAAGGAGAAGCUCUUGAUCGAAGCCCCGGUAAACGGCGGCCGUAACUAUAACGGUCCUAAGGUAGCGAAAUUCCUUGUCGGGUAAGUUCCGACCUGCACGAAUGGCGUAAUGAUGGCCAGGCUGUCUCCACCCGAGACUCAGUGAAAUUGAACUCGCUGUGAAGAUGCAGUGUACCCGCGGCAAGACGGAAAGACCCCGUGAACCUUUACUAUAGCUUGACACUGAACAUUGAGCCUUGAUGUGUAGGAUAGGUGGGAGGCUUUGAAGCGUGGACGCCAGUCUGCGUGGAGCCAACCUUGAAAUACCACCCUUUAAUGUUUGAUGUUCUAACGUUGGCCCCUUACCGGGGUUGCGGACAGUGUCUGGUGGGUAGUUUGACUGGGGCGGUCUCCUCCCAAAGCGUAACGGAGGAGCACGAAGGUUAGCUAAUCCUGGUCGGACAUCAGGAGGUUAGUGCAAUGGCAUAAGCUAGCUUGACUGCGAGCGUGACGGCGCGAGCAGGUGCGAAAGCAGGUCAUAGUGAUCCGGUGGUUCUGAAUGGAAGGGCCAUCGCUCAACGGAUAAAAGGUACUCCGGGGAUAACAGGCUGAUACCGCCCAAGAGUUCAUAUCGACGGCGGUGUUUGGCACCUCGAUGUCGGCUCAUCACAUCCUGGGGCUGAAGUAGGUCCCAAGGGUAUGGCUGUUCGCCAUUUAAAGUGGUACGCGAGCUGGGUUUAGAACGUCGUGAGACAGUUCGGUCCCUAUCUGCCGUGGGCGCUGGAGAAUUGAGGGGGGCUGCUCCUAGUACGAGAGGACCGGAGUGGACGCAUCACUGGUGUUCGGGUUGUCAUGCCAAUGGCACUGCCCGGUAGCUAAAUGCGGAAGAGAUAAGUGCUGAAAGCAUCUAAGCACGAAACUUGCCCCGAGAUGAGUUCUCCCUGAGACUUUAAGUCUCCUGAAGGAACGUUAAAGACGAUGACGUUGAUAGGCCGGGUGUGUAAGCGCAGCGAUGCGUUGAGCUAACCGGUACUAAUGAACCGUGAGGCUUAACCUUACAACGCCGAAG